GCCCUGGUGGUUCAAUGGUUAAAACACUUGGCUGCUAACCAGUAGGUUGGUGGUUCGAGCCCACCAGGGGCU
rnacentral:tRNA from 1 species